rnacentral:pre_miRNA from 1 species
UGUCAUGCUUUUCCACAGCUUUCUUGAACUUCUUAUGUUAAUCGUCACUUGGAUUAAUUUAAUUUGUUGAGAAGCUCAAGAAAGCUGUGGGAGAACAUGGCGA